rnacentral:lncRNA from 1 species
CAGGAUCAUCCACAACUGGGACCUCACCAAGCGCCCGAUCUGCAGGCAGGCCCUGAAGUUUCUGACGCAGAUCCGGGCCCAGCCCCUCAUCAACCUGCAGAUGGUGAACGCGUCUCUGUACGAGCAUGUGGAGCGGAUGCACCUCAUUGGGAGGAGCCGGGAGCAGCUGAAGCUCCUGGGGGAUUACCUGGGCCUGUGCCGGAGUGGCGCCCUGAAGGAGCUCAGCAAGAGGCUCAACCACCGGAAUUAUCUCUUGGAGUCUCCGCAUAGGUUCCGUGUUGCUGACCUCCGGCAGAGAUCGCAGAUGAGGUAUAUGAAGGAUUCCUCAAGGCCCUGAUUGAAUUUGCCUCCCAGCAUGUCUACCACUGCGACCUGUGCACCCAGCGCAGCUUCAUCUGCCAGAUCUGCCAGCACCACGACAUCAUCUUCCCCUCUGAGUUUGACACCACAGUCAGAGGUGUGCCAAGUGCAAGACCGUCUUCCACCAGAGCUGCCAGGCUGUGGUGAAGAAGGGCUGCCCCCGCUGUGCUCGCUGACGCAAGUACCAGCAACAGAACGUUUUCGCCUGAUGCCCCUCUGCUGAUCCCACUCUGAAGGCCGGGGGUGAGUGUGGCUCAGCCAUCCCAGCUGGGUUUCCUAUCAGCCCAGGAUACUCACCGUGUCACAGCUGUGUCCCCUUGUCAGGAAGACCUCAGAUGUGACCAGAGCACUGGCCUCCUACAGAAAGCCCAGGAAGUCCCCAUGAUGUCCCCUGGCCCUCCCCCCACCCCUCUGCUGCAGGAGGCGUGGCCACCACCAGAUGCUCCCUGAAAAAAAAAAAAAAAAAAAUAGCUGAUAUAUGGUGUACGCUGGGCAUGUGGUAAGCACUGCUUAGUGGAUCUCAUUUAAUCUUCCCAAUAAUCCAGUGAAGUGGGUGUUACUAUUGAUAGGAAAGAAAGCUGAGCUGCAGAGAUAAGGCAGAACUCCCAAGGCCUACCAGCCGCCAAGCAGCAGAGUGGGGCAUCAUACCUGCCUGACCCCACGCAAAGACCAUCACCACUGCCAGCCGCUGCCUGGCUGUGCUGCAGGUGGGGAGAGACCUAAAAGGUAGGGAGGGAGAGAAGAUUCCUCCAGUCACUAUUUUCUAAGCAUGUCGGGCACCAAAGACCAAUGCUGAGUUCUGCUGUGUGCCCACCCUGGAGGGUCCCAAAGUGCCACCAGGCCUCAGACACACUGAGAUUCUCAGAGGAAGUGUAGACUCACGGGUGGGCAACGCCUAGCAGGGGCAAAGAUACAGAGGUAAGGGAGUUCCAGAACGAGUGUGGCCAGAUUCAGCUUCCCAUCCAACCCUGGGCCCCCAGGAGGUGGAGUCAAGAGGGGCCAUGGCCUGGGGUGUGGGCUUCUCUUCGUCCCAGAACACUGGCCUGAAUCAGCCAGCUCUCCGCACACACAGCCACGUCCAUAGGCACAACUGUUUCUGGGGGCCCCUGAGGGCAGGGGGUCUGCUAGGGCUGUGGUUUGUGACGUGUGGAGUGAGCGCAGGCUCAGAUCAGGGCGAGGCAGCUUGUCCAGAGAGGCAGAUAAUUCCCAAACAGAAGACCCCCAAGGCGGAGGGCCCUGGGGCUGGACUCCUGGCCCCCAGGAGGUUGUUCUGAGCUUACCCUGUGGACGGAUUGGAGGGUGGACCUCUUUCCCCGCAAGGGUCAAGAGGGAGUGGGGGAUGGUGGGAAGGCAAUCUGGCCAGGAGAAGCUGCGCGGGAGACUCCCGCCAUCCCCAGUCCCACCAUCUCAGCCCCGCGGCCUCUUCCUCCCUGGAGACAGCCAGGAUCCCGGGAGUGGCCCAGGAUCCCGGGAAAUGCAGGGGAGGGGGUGGCAUCUUUCCUCUUCAGGCGCGGGCCUGGCCCAGAGGCGACAGGAAGCCAGGACGCCGGGGAUUGUCUCUCGCAACCGCAGCCCAGCCCCAGUCCGGGAGGAAGUUCUGCCGGGCGCUCUCCGCCGGUGCCUCACUGGUUAUAGUGCUAUACAGGAAACCUGGCAGCGCCGGAGCCGCGCGGUCGAGGAGGGAGCGCGGGACGCCGAGCCCACGCGCGCCUGCCGGGACAAGUGGAGACGAGGCCGGCGAGCGGACGCCCCGAGAAGGGCUGCCCUCCCUCUGGAGGCGGGUGGGGAGCAGGCCCAGGCCCCUAGCGCCGACCCAGGCGUUGACGCCGCUGUAGCUUGCGUCGCCUGGGCAGUGGACGCAGGGGACCUCCUGGCGACGGGUGCGCUCUCGCGCUCCAGGGAUCCUCUCGGCCCCCACCAAUCCCUCCCCUUCUCUGUGUUCCCGCAGGUUGGCGAAGGAGCUGUGGCCGGGUCCCCUUCUUAUCCAGCCCGAGACACUGCGCUCCGGUGGGCGUCCCUGCGCUGGGAAUCCCUCUCGGAGUUUUUCCAGGCCCGGCCGGGUUGCUCCGGGAAAGGCCCUGUUGGGGGAGGUGGGCCCGGAGCUGGCAGGUCUACAAUCCGGUUGGAAGGGCUCGCAGUGGGUGAUUCAGGGUGCCAAUGACCUCCCCGCGAACGGGAACGCCCGCACUAGACAACCAGCCCCAGACCGGCAUUCCCAGAGCCGCAGGCGGGAGGGACGCAGGGACUCCGGGACAGCAAAUCCCCGGGGGAGAAGGGAAGGGGGAAGGCGGGACAGGGGAGGCCCACCCUCCUUGGGCUCCGCUAGCGACCAGCCAGCGCCCCUUCAGACGCAGCCUUCCUGGCUCCGGACCCCGGCUUUCUGCUCCGGUCCUCGUCCCAAUGCCCCCCAAGGUCCCCAGCAGAGGCAUUCAGGUUCCUCCUCGCCCCGCCCAGACGCAGCUUCUUUGGGUAUGGGUGACAGCACUCCUGAGCGUCGCUGUCCCUAUUCGCUGCCGUUGCCAGCUCCGAUUCCGCGAAACCUCUCCGGCACCACCUCGGAAGCCCCGCCCAGGGCGAUGGUCCGGGCCUAACCUGCCGGCCCCGCCCACCCGGCCCUUGGGCUCCCUGAGGCCCGCCCAGCAGACAGUCGAGGAACGCUUGACAAAGUGGCGAAGGAGCCCUACGGGAGUCCCGGAUUGGACCCUGCUCCUUCGGUCCCUCAGCCUCGGCAAGCCGCGGUCUCCUGGCCCUUGGCCUGGGUCACCUUAGGAGGCAGGAGGAGAUGUGGUCAGUGUGGGAGCUUGGAGGGGCCAUGCACUUCCGGAGAAGACCACCGACUCAUGGCUUUGGUGGAGGGGCGCCGGCAGAUUUAGUUAAGCUCUCCCCCAUCCCUGACACACCCAGCCGGGGCGGGAGCGGGGCUUGUGACCACUCCGGAGAGCUUUGAGGGCCCCUGCUUUGGGACUCCGCACGGACAGUCACUGUCUCAGAGUGCAUUCUCCAGGGGCCACUCUCUUGGGGACACUGUAGGGGUCACAGGGCAGGUGGGCAGCCUCUCUCGGGGGGCGGCGUGAGAGCCGGAGAGCAGGGGGCGGGGGCGGGCCCGGCUCGGGCUCACGUCUGCGUUGAAGCCGCUGGGGAAGGGGAGAGAAACCGAGAGAACCGGUUCCCCCGCCUUGACAGCGGAGGCCCCCACACCAAGGCCCUUGGACUAAGCGGGGCAGGGACAGCCUCCAGGUAGAGCUGUUCGCCGGGGCGCCUGCAGAGCCCGCAUCCCAACCCUGACCCCGGGGCCGGGGCGCAGGCUCCUGGAGGGAGGCGUCCAGGCGGGACAGGGCCCGGGGAGCGGCAGGAAAUGGGCUGCUCUUCCCACUUGACUGACGGGAAAACUAAGGCACGGUCAACUAUCAAGCAAGCGUGGUGUCGACCUUAGAGCAGGACUGAAGCGAGGCUGAAAUCUUAGAAUCAACCCCACGGAAUGAAGAGGUUGUCCUAAUUCCAGCACUGAGUGAAAAUGCCGCGGCCGCAAUGGCGGCGGAUGUGGAGGGGGACGUGUACGUACUGGUGGAGCACCCCUUCGAGUACACCGGCAAGGACGGGCGCCGCGUGGCCAUCCCGCCCAAUGAGCGCUACCGGCCGCUGCGGCGCAGCACAGAGCACUGAGCAUUGGUGGCACGUGCGGCGCAAGCCCGGCGGCCGCCCCUUCUACCUGCCCGCGCAGUACGUGCGCGAGCUGCCUGCGCUGGGCAACCCUGCCGCUGACGCGCCGCCAGGUCCCCCCAUCGGGACCCGCAGCCCCUGAGCCGCUCGCCUACGACUACCGGUUCGUGAGCGCGGCUGUGGCAGCGGCCCCCAACGGCCCCCCAGCGGAGCCCCGAGGCGGGGCCAGCUCCCUGUGCGGCCCUGCGCAGCGCGG